rnacentral:rRNA from 1 species
CCAGCCUGCCCAGUGAUAAAUUUAACGGCCGCGGUACCCUAACCGUGCAAAGGUAGCAUAAUCACUUGUUCUUUAAAUAAGGACUUGUAUCAACGGCAUCACGAGGGUUUUACUGUCUCCUCUCUCCAAUCGGUGAAACUGAUCUUCCCAUGAAAAAGUGGGGAUAAACUUAUAAGACGAGAAGACCCCAUGGAGCUUUAAAACCUAUAGCAACCUAGCAAAACAUUUCCAUCUAGCUAUAAAACAAUGCUCAAGGACUUUAGGUUGGGAGGACCACGGAGCACAAGAUAACCUCCGUAAUGAAAAGAAUAAAAUCUUUACCAAAGAGCCACAACUCUAAGAAUUAGAAAACUAACGUACAUGACCCGAUAUCGAUCAAUGAACUAAGUUACCCUGGGGAUAACAGCGCAAUCCACUCUGAGAGUUCAUAUCGACGAGCGGGCUUACGACCUCGAUGUUGGAUCAGGGUAUCCUGGUGGUGCAGCCGCUACCGAAGGUUCGUUUGUUCAACGAUUAAAACCCU